GACGAACGCUGGCGGCAGGCCUAACACAUGCAAGUCGAGCGGACCUUUCGGGGUCAGCGGCGGACGGGUGAGUAACGCGUGGGAAUAUGCCCUUCUCUACGGAAUAGUCCUGGGAAACUGGGGGUAAUACCGUAUACGCCCUUUGGGGGAAAGAUUUAUCGGGGAAGGAUUAGCCCGCGUUGGAUUAGGUAGUUGGUGGGGUAAUGGCCUACCAAGCCGACGAUCCAUAGCUGGUUUGAGAGGAUGAUCAGCCACACUGGGACUGAGACACGGCCCAGACUCCUACGGGAGGCAGUAGUGGGGAAUCUUAGACAAUGGGGGCAACCCUGAUCUAGCCAUGCCGCGUGAGUGAUGAAGGCCUUAGGGUUGUAAAGCUCUUUCAGCUGGGAAGACAAUGACGGUACCAGCAGAAGAAGCCCCGGCUAACUCCGUG
rnacentral:rRNA from 1 species